CGACGACGAAGAAGAGAGACAGAGGAGAGGAGAACAAGGGAGCUUCCAUAUUCCCUUUUGCCCUAACCGUCGCCAUUUUCAGAGGUUCUUCCCGAAUCCCUAAUUCCCUCUUCUCUCCUCCUUCCGCCGCUUCCCUCCUCCGUUGAAGAAGAUCCCCCCCGCUUCCCAGCUGCUCCGUCGUCGCGCUUCCCCCUCCUCUCCCCGAAUUCCUCCCCGAUCCGAAUUUGGCCCCUCCGUUCCAGAGGGACCCGGUCGCGCUUUCGCCGGCGCCGUGGCCCCGCUGAUGCGAAGUGCCCGCGCGGUUGGCGCGGAGCCGCCGUUUUGAUACCGAGCGCCGCAGCCGUUGCCGUUGCUGGGGAUCCCGCGAAUCAGGGGGUGAUUGGAUGAUUGAGGAUGCAGCCGCGGGUUGCGGAUUGAAGGCAUUGUUGCGUUGGUGGUGUGUGGUGCGGCAGCUAUGGCUCAGCAAUCGUCGCGACUCAAUCGGCUGCUCACUCUUCUCGACACUGGUUCGACUCAGUCCACGAGGUUCGCCGCGGCUCGCCAGAUUGGAGAUAUCGCCAAGUCGCAUCCCCGGGACUUGGCCUCUCUCUUAAAGAAGCUCCAUUCAUUUGUGGGCGGCAUGGUGAAGAAUUCAAGUGACGAACGUGAAAUUCAUUAAGCAAUUCGUCCACUAUCUUGUUUAAAUUGGAUCCAUUGUUGGUGAUGAUUUCUUUGGGAACUCCAUAUCGAGCAAUUAUAUCAUGACGGAAGAAUUUUGCCACAUUCUUUGUGGUGACAUUGGCGUAUGAAUUUGCUUCGAUCCAUUUGGAGAAAUAGUCAAUGGCCACCAAAAUAAAGCAAUGCCCAUUUGAAGCUUUAGGAUUGAUGGGUCCAAUAAAAUCAAUCCUCCACAUAGAAGAAGGCCAUGCUUCGGACAUUUGAUGUAACUCUCUUGGAGGAGCAUUGAUCUUGUCCCCAUAAACUUGGCAUUAAUGACAUUAUCGCACGUGUUGAAUGCAAUC